rnacentral:rRNA from 1 species
UGGGGAAUUUUGGACAAUGGGCGAAAGCCUGAUCCAGCAAUGCCGCGUGUGUGAAGAAGGCCUUCGGGUUGUAAAGCACUUUUGUCCGGAAAGAAAUCCUUGGCUCUAAUACAGUCGGGGGAUGACGGUACCGGAAGAAUAAGCACCGGCUAACUACGUGCCAGCAGCCGCGGUAAUACGUAGGGUGCAAGCGUUAAUCGGAAUUACUGGGCGUAAAGCGUGCGCAGGCGGUUUGCUAAGACCGAUGUGAAAUCCCCGGGCUCAACCUGGGAACUGCAUUGGUGACUGGCAGGCUAGAGUAUGGCAGAGGGGGGUAGAAUUCCACGUGUAGCAGUGAAAUGCGUAGAGAUGUGGAGGAAUACCGAUGGCGAAGGCAGUCCCCUGGGCCAAUACUGACGCUCAUGCACGAAAGCGUGGGGAGCAAACAGGAUUAGAUACCCUGGUAGUCCACGCCCUAAACGAUGUCAACUAGUUGUUGGGGAUUCAUUUCCUUAGUAACGUAGCUAACGCGUGAAGUUGACCGCCUGGGGAGUACGGUCGCAAGAUUAAAACUUAAAGGAAUUGACGGGGUCAUAGCUGUUUCCU